rnacentral:rRNA from 1 species
CAAGACGAAAGUUGAGGGAUCGAAGACGAUCAGAUACCGUCGUAGUCUCAACUAUAAACUUUACCGACUAGGGAUGGGUGAGCGUUGAAAUUUCAUCCUGCAGAUUUGAAAUAUUAGUUUGUAGGGAAAGCCCGACCUCAUCCGCACCUUAUGAGAAAUCACAAGUCUUUGGGUUCUGGGGAGAGUAUGGUCGCAAGGCUGAAACUUAAGGAAUUGACGGAAGGGCACCACCAGGAGUGGAGCCUGCGGCUUAAUUUGACUCAACACGGGGAAACUUACCAGGUCCAGACAUAGUAAGGAUUGACAGAUUGAAGCUCUUUCUUGAUUCUAUGGUUGGUGGUGCAUGGCCGUUCUUAGUUGGUGGAGUGAUUUGUCUGGUUUAUUCCGUUAACGAACGAGACCUCGACCUGCUAAAUAGUGCUGGCAAUUAACGCUUUCGGGUGUUUGAUUGCAGAUAACAGCUAUCAAUACUUCUUAGAGGGACUCUCGGUGUCAACUAGCCGAUGGAAGCUCGAGGCAAUAACAGGU